CGCACCGGUGGCUAAUUGGACCGAGGCCUUAUCGCCUCAGCCGCCCGAGAGACCCUCAGGCACCGGGAGGCUGACCGGGCAGGACUCCUACUCCCAGUGAGGGAGCAGAAAUAAGAAAGAUGAAAAAGGUUGCAAAAGCCAUAAGACAAUCUUCAGCACUUUUACUAACUGCAGAGCCAUCACAACCGAAAACAGAACUGAAGUGGAAGGAACUAUGCCAUCAUUUGAUCACAUUAAAACUUUGCAGAAGGCAAAGGCAGACUAUGCAUCAUAAUCUUACUGUUUUUCUGGUGCCUAAAGUGAUAUGCAUGCUGUAGUUCUGCAUGGGAAUAAUUUUCAUCCAGAGGUGUAAACCACUUCAUUAGAAGCAUCCAGUGGGAUGAAUUAGAGGAGCUCCUGUGCUAAGUCAUCUUUUAUCUUUUUAAUCCUGAGAGAGCAAACCUUGCCCUUUGUACAGACAGCAUGUUUGGACUUGGCUUGGGAAGAAUGAGAGUUGCAGUCUCUAGCACACAGUGCAGAUAGCAGCUCCAAACAAUGUUACGUGCCUGAUUUUAAACAUCCCUACAGCAAGGCUGUGUUUGGACACCACUUACUACCAGCAGGCCACCUUGAAUUAAGUGUUUUCCUUUUAGUAAGAGAAGUUGAGACUUGAGAAAAUUGUUCGUUAGGGUGAGACUCAUGUCUUUUUCUCCUGUUUUUGGUUCAACUAUGUUCACUCUUUGUUUACAAUCCAGUUGUUGUUUGAGAUUUUGCCUCAAUUGUUUAUUUUGUAGAAGCAAGGAAUUUAUAUACUCUUGCACAUAAACACCUGCUCAUCUAUCAUUAUGCCAAAUUCAGUACUACUGUCAGCAGUUUGCAUAUGUUUUUAUGCUUGUAGCCUCUCAUAAUUUUUAUCUUCUCAGGUCUUACAUUCCCUCUCUCAGUAAGGGAUUAUCUAUUCUUCUCUAUUUCUCAGGUUUGUCAUGAGACUCUUCAGAGCUUUGUUCUUUUAAUAGAGUUCUUUCUGUCCUAGGUUCAAAAAUACUUUUAUUUUUGUUCCUAUCUGGUUUUGUGAAUUUUUUUCAUUGUUUUGAUAGCUAUGCUUGUACAGACACUUUAGUAUAUUUUUUUUUUAAGGAAAAAACCUAAAACAAAUCUGCCUUUGUCUCUCCAGUAUGCUACUUAAAAUACAUAACAGAUAUUGCAUGCUCAAGGUAAGAGUUACUUAUACCAACAUCACAACUAAAUUGCACUUUCUAAGUUUAAAAUUAGAGCAGAUACAGAGAUGUGUCUUAGGGAUUGACCCUGACCUGAGUUGGUUGAUGAAUGAGAAACAGUGAAAUGACAUCCUCUCAAUGUUCAAACUGGGAUGAAAUCCCAAACUUGGAUGGCACUUGGACCACCUCAGGCUCCAUCCCAUCCCAGAGGGGGUCUCUCCACCCCCUCUGAAGUAGCUUUCACAUUUGUUACAGAAUAAUUAAAGAUUAAUUAGGUGACAAAGGCAGACUGAAAAGGGGCAUGAAUCUGUGGCCAUGUGGUCACUGGGGAGUGACUGAAAAUAUUCUAAAUCCCAUUUAGGUACUUGGUUCAAUAACAGUUAUUGAAACAGCAUCUGGUAUCAAUUUUUAAAGUUUUAGACUUAAAGUGUUAUCAGUAGCUCUCAACUCAUGUGUUUCCUGUGAUAGAAACAUUUUUCAGCCAUAUGAUGGGAAGCAGAAGAAUCCCCUUUAGCAGGGGAAGAUGCUGAGCCCAUACCCCGAGGUGUUCAAGGCACUCUGGGUAAGUCCAGCACCCCUGAGUACUCCAGCCAUUACAUAAGCAUUUAAUCUAGUGACAGUCUAAUUAAUUACAGACCUUGAAAUGUAGAUCAAAAGAAGAUCCUUGUGACAUUAAAUCCCUUUCAUGUUCCUGCCAGCCCCUGAAUCUCAGCUGUUGAACAGGGGCUUUGGCAGCGGUGGGGAGCACUGGAGGAGGAGAACCUGUAGCAGUAUCUUGCCACACCGGAGUGUCCUACCUGCUGAUCCCUCACUGGCUCCUGGAACUCCCUGCAAGGCUGUCCCCCAGCUGUCUUGCUUGGAGCUAGUGUUAGCAGACUGGCUGCCCUUGGGAAGGGAGCUGGUUCUUAGCAGUGCUGAAAUCCUACCCUGGAACACAGGAGAACACCAGGAGGGUUAUGGUGCAGUCUGACUGGGGAUGCUGAGCACCUCAGUGCCAUCAAAAUGAGCGUGUGAUGCACAGAGCCCUUUUGAGUGAUGCCUAUCAAACGCACAGCCUGUGGCACUUGGUGGCAUUUGACUGCAAGGUAAGCUGCCUGCUAAAUGGUAUUUUCAGGCUGAGUAGAAAAUUCCUCUUUGAACGCCUACACCAAGGACCUCUGUCUUCCCUGAAUCUGGCCCAGGUUUGUACUAGUUGUAGUUUGAUUGUUACGUACCUCCUAAGGGUUACACUUUCUCUAAAGGAAUCACACACUAAUUUAAUCAGAAAAUGUAAUCUUCCAUUGCCUCAAUACAGGCAAACUCUUUUAUUAUUGUCACUGUGAACCUCCUCAAAACUGAAGCGCUUUUAAGUAGUUCAGUCUUUAAAUAUCCUCUUUUAUUCUCAUUCAAGAAAGUCUGGUUUUGAUAACAGUCAAGGAUUUUAGUUUUUUAUUUCAGAAAAAAAAAAAAAAAGGUCCAAGGAGAAAUAUGGUAGUUUUUAUUCGUUUAAUUAUGGGGGUAUUUUCUAACAUAGAACAGUGAAAUCUGGCUAACAACAUAUAAUUAAAGUAAAAUAAUUUUGUCUUUGAUUUUACUGUUUUAGUGAUUCUUGAAGUAAAAAUACACCUCUGUGUAUGAUUUUGCUCACCCACUACUUUUAAGCCUCAGUAAGAACUGCUCCUGUUGUACAAUAAUCAGCAUUUUGCCUAUAUUUUUAUGCAUGCAGUUUGUCAUCAGUUUAUGCCUCUUUAAGGCUUGGCUGCGAUUUCUUAAAAUGUCUGUUCUAGUUGUAGUGCUCAAAAAUUACUUUUUCUUCCUGAAGCUCCUUGGUAAAAGACAGAAGAAAGCAUAGUGGCAGAAGUAUUAUAAACUGAAGCAGAUGGCAUUUUGGUUUUGUAGAAUAUAAUGAGGCUUGCACAUAAAGUUAAUUGUCCUAUAACCAAGAACAUUACUUGAACUAUGAUGAAACUCAACCAGACAUUUCCAGGAAGAAGGAUUUUCACAUAAUUUUAAAAAGUGUCAGUAAGUAACAAUCAAAUAAAUAGAAUAAUUUCAGACUGGGAAGACUUGGGGAGGUCAACAAAUAAGCUAAUUCAAGGAGUUUGGCUGGCUGAUGCUUUUGAAAAUGAUGACGGUGGCUAUGUUUAAAAUUCUCAUUUAGACAGAAACUGUAAUUCCAUGUACUGAAACAUCAAGAUUAAGAGAAACAUUGAAUGGACUCAUCCCCAGUCACUUCCUUUGGGAGCUGUCAGUAGCAGGAUUAAAUCAGAAUUGACAAAUAUAUCAAAUGGUCAUUUGAGAAGAGAUUUGUUCAUUUAAGUUGAAAUAAGCUUUAUCAAUAAAAAAAUGUAAAUGUCUUUUCAGAUCAAAAGGUAGUUUGAGUAAGGUGUUUUUAAUGAUCUCUAGCAUAGUGUCAAGACUAUUCUAUUUGAAUGGAGAAAAGUGCUUAUGGUUCAUUUUGGAGAAGAAAUAAAAUAUGUGCUACUGUGACAGACUAAACAGUGGUGGUAAACUUAUUACUUACCGUAAUUUGCUGUAAUUUUGGGAAGAAAAAAAUGGUGUUAGAUCUGAGCACUUCUGAACAGGCAUCAGAGAAUAUUAAUAUAUACUACAGAAACAAAAUUAGUGUCUUUGAUGUAAAACAAAAAGCAUGCAAGAUCCCCCUUGCUUGUUUUUACUUUUUUUUUUGUGUUUUUACUAGUCUCUGGACUGUCUUACCUCUUUCAGUCUUUCCCAUUUUUUUUUCUGUCAACAUAUUCUUGGAUUAUAACUCUUUGCCAUGGUAUAUAUUUAAAAUGUUGAAUUUUUUUUAUUCAUUCAUUGAGUGUGUGUUACUAAAUUUUAUGCAACAUAUACUGUGAACUUUAUAUAAUAUACAGAAAGAAUUGUCAGCCAUAAGUCUUGCAUGUGCAAGGGGACAAAGUGUUCAUAUCUGAUUAUGCUGCCUUUCAUCAGUAUUAGUGGAACUCUUACUAUAACCCAGUAGUGUGUAGUCUGCAUAUGCAGAUGGCUCUUGAUUCACUACAAAAUAAUUGUUUACAACAAACCUUUCUGCUUGGUUUUGCUUAAACUACAAGUGGUCAUGUUUAUGUUUUUUCAAAUACUCAGGAGUGGUUUUUCAUUUUCUCAAUACAGAAAAUAGCACUGAGUAGUAAUGAUCUAAUUCAGAAAGAGGAAAUCUCUAGUGCAUAUGAGAUGUAAAGUAGUAUUUGGAAGAUAAAUACAUGAUCUGGAACCUAUACAGGGCGAAGAGGGGAGUUAUCACAGGUAUGAUUACAGAUUUUUGAAAGAUAAUAUACUUUUACCAAGGAAAUGCUGUUGAACUAGACUAUCAAAGUUAAACUAUGACACCAACAGAGGAGAGCCAGCAGACUCCAUCUGGUCCUCCAGUGUCUGUGGGAGACUUUGCUUCCUUAAUCUCAAAGCACAGAUUUUGGCUGUAGCCAUAUAGGAUAUUUGUUGUUUCUUUCUCCAACAGUUCAUCCAAUGUAUUUUCUGCCAGCCUGGACAUUGUGUAAUCACAUCGUCUAGGCCCUUGUUUUACUGUAACUUCAGCUGAAUGAACUUUAUGCCUUUCAAAGGAAAUCUGUCAUUGCUUUUUGUUUCACUUCCCCCAUUCCUGCUCCCACUGUUGAAGGAAACCUCUGCAUGAUGGAGAUCGAAUCUUCUGUAUGAUUGAAGCAGAGCUCACAGCCUGGCAGACAGCAGCAGCAGAAGAACGCAUGGAGGUGAAGGUGUGCUAUGGAGAAACAAACAGGCAGCAAGACAAUUGAGGGAUCGUCUUAACAAUGUUUGCUUCUAUGGAUCAUUGAAGUGGGAAGCUCACUGCUGGUACCUGAUUAGGCUCCCUUCAGGUACUGGAAGGACACAAUUAAGUCACCUUUCAUCUUCAGGCUGAAUAUUCCCAAUUCUCUCAGCUCUUCCUCAUAGGAAAGAAGCUCCAUCUCUUCAACCAUCUUUGUGUUACUCUGAACUGGCUCCAGCAGCUCUAUGUCCUUCCUGUGCAGGGACCCCAGCUCUGGAUGCUCCAGCUGGGUCUCA